CGGCAAAUGCUGCCCUAAGGACAAGGCCAUCAAGAGGUUCCUUGUCAGGAACAUUGUGGAACAGGCAGCUGUUAGGGAUGUUCAGGAAGCCUGUGUCUAUGAUCAAUACACUCUUCCUAAGCUUUAUGCCAAGAUGCAGUACUGUGUUUCUUGUGCUAUCCACUCUCACGUUGUAAGGGUUCGAUCACGCACUGACAGGAGGAACCGUGAGCCUCCACAGCGCUUCAUUAGACGCAGGGAUGAUGCGCCAAAGCCUGGACAGCCAGGACAGGCCCCGCGUGUUGGAGCUGGUGGAGCUCCACCCCGUGCUUGAAAGAACCUUUUAUUUGCUAUUUAUUUUCUCAUGGUUUCUCAAAUUUCGUGGACUUCCAAUUUUAUUUAGGAUUUUUCAAUAUAUUUUGAGGGCUUUGUUUUGAGUAUCGAAUUCUG
rnacentral:misc_RNA from 1 species